GAACCCUCCCAAGUUGGCUACUCCUCUAUUUGAUACUAAAAUGCCAGAGGACCCUAAGAUGGCAUACACAGACCUAGAUAAUCUUCAAAUGGUGUUUUGAACGAAGAGUGUUUGGUCUUGCAUUGUGAUGGCGUCUGAGUGUUGGCUUGGUCUCUGUUGGCUUGCUACAUAUCUAGAAAGCUCCAUGAUUUGUGCUAAGCUCAAAAUAUUAGUAGAUUUGUUGUGGUAGUGCCUUAACAGGAUUUGAGGCUUCUCCAUUCAGG